GUGGGGAAUCUUAGACAAUGGGGGAAACCCUGAUCUAGCCAUGCCGCGUGAGCGAUGAAGGCCUUAGGGUUGUAAAGCUCUUUCAGCUGGGAAGAUAAUGACGUUACCAGCAGAAGAAGCCCCGGCUAACUCCGUGCCAGCAGCCGCGGUAAUACGGAGGGGGCUAGCGUUGUUCGGAAUUACUGGGCGUAAAGCGCACGUAGGCGGAUCAGAAAGUCAGAGGUGAAAUCCCAGGGCUCAACCUUGGAACUGCCUUUGAAACUCCUGGUCUUGAGGUCGAGAGAGGUGAGUGGAAUUCCGAGUGUAGAGGUGAAAUUCGUAGAUAUUCGGAGGAACACCAGUGGCGAAGGCGGCUCACUGGCUCGAUACUGACGCUGAGGUGCGAAAGCGUGGGGAGCAAACAGGAUUAGAUACCCUAGUAGUCC
rnacentral:rRNA from 1 species